GCCUGGGGGUGCCUGAUGGCAAGGACAGAUCCUGCUGGUGGAUGGGGAGUGACAACAGCUUCUGCUCUGCUUCUGCAGGAAUUUCUGAGCCCCCUCAGGGCAACUUACAAGUUUCAUUUGGGAGAAGCUGUGUUUGGUGCAGGAUGAGCAAAGACAGACAGGGAAACGGUUAUGUGGCAGCUCCCUGCUGCAGCUGCAGGCCAAAGGCUUUAUUUGAACUGAAGGUGAUGUUUCCUUAAAUCAGAGAUGAUGUUGCCAGAAGAAAAUUAAUUUAAGAACCACACCUGGCAACCAGAAGGACUUUAAUUCCCCACCCAGUUCAUAUGCUGAUUCUUAGAAUGUAAUGCCAAAUUGACAUGUCCUGUACAGGAGGUUGUUGUCAACAACAGACAAUGUCUUGCAUAAUUUGAGUAGUGAGAAGUAGGAAACCAAAUCAAAACCACAUUGGAAAAUGUGCUCUAAACCUUUUUGAACCUUACCUGCUUGCUGUGGCUGUACAGUUAAUUGCGUUUCUGUCUCCCUAGCAAAUGUAACAGUGCUGUGCAAAACAAAGACUGAGGCUUUUUUACUGGCUGCAUUGAUUUCUGCAGAAGUCACUUCAUCCUUGUUUUUCCCCUCAAAAGCAGGAGCCCUGAGUAGUAGGAAUGGAGCAACAGCCAUUGGGAAAGCCAAGGUGAGAACAGCCACUUAGAAAAAGGAUCCAAAGAGCAGAGGUACUUUGAGCUGUGCAGACUCAUGGCUAACCCACAUGUGGAGGCCUUUGUCUGCAACAUCUAACUUCUGAGUCAUCUUAGUGAGGACUUAGAGCCUUCAGUGUCUGAGUUUAGCUUCACAAUGGAAACACCAAACUUGUUCCUGUUAGUCCCUAAGGUCAUGUUUUUAGUAGCAGAGACUGCCCUUUAAUGAUAAUGGAAUAUUUAAUGAGAUCUAGGAUAUUUCCAGCACCGAGUCCAGCUCACAGCAGUUCUGGACAGACAUCCUUGAUGGUCAGAGGCUGCAGCUUUCCUAGAUGCUGGAUUUUGGUGGUGCUCAUCACUUGUUUUUAGACCAUGACUGUUGUUUUUUUACAUGCUUGUUUUGUCUCCAAGUAAAUUGCUUGAGGUAAAAUAAGUUCUAGAUCCUCCAGCAAGCUUAAGCACCUAAACUGAUGUGUUAUGGGUUGAGCUUAGCUGAAGUCAACUCUUACUACUUUAGCAUUGCCUUGCUUAUGGUAGAGAAGUCAUCUCUGUGUUGAGAACAAGCACUGCAGUCCAUGGAUGAGAGACCUGAAUCACUGAGAAUCCUGGUUUUAGCCAUCAAGCCAGGCCCGAGGUGAAGAUGAGCACUUGCCCACUCCCUGCAGUGUUAAGGUGAGCUCUUGCAGUCCAUGGCCUGUAGUGCUGAUAUUGAGAGCUGAAGCACUGUCAGACACUCAGACCCCAGCCUGGCAUUUGCACUUUUGUCCUGUACAUGAUGGAUGAGAGAGGAGGCAAAGGUUUGUGCCUUGAUGUUUGGGUGUCUGGUUUAGUUUACACCACAAUCUGUGGCUGAUCUAUUAAAUAUUUAAUUGUUUUUAUUCUGCUUGGUGUGGGUUUACAUUGUACUGUAUAAUGUGACAUUUCAGACUGACUUGUACCUUGAAGGUAAGAAACUCUGAGCUAGAAGGCACUCAGGUUCCUUGAUCUAAAUAAAGCUCUGUUCUAUUUUUCAAAGCUACUCUGGACUUCUGAAUUUAAGACUGACUCCUGUUUUGACUAAUGGAGAGCUGGAAAUGUAAGCCUGCUUUGGAGAAGGCCUCCAAGAAGUGGUUUUAGAUCUCAGAGCUUAAGCUGAAAAUUGAAUUGCUCAGAAGAGCCCUCUCCUGCAGCCCAGUGCCAUGGUGUACCAGUGGAACAGUGUGUCAUUUGCUGAGACUCCCUGUGGUAUUCUCUGUGCUAUCAGAGAAGAGAUGCCUGGAGCUGAAAGGUGGCAUUAUUUCAGAUGGAAGAACGAACAGUUGAUACCUGACAGUAGAGAAGGUCUAUCAAGAAGGCCUUCAGGAAGCAUGCCAGAAUCCUUCAGGACAAGAAUGCAGACACAGGCUCCAUUUAAUGGAAAGAGAUAAUUUCCCCUACAACCUGGCCUUGUGUGCUCAUGGAUAAUCCACACUGGAUGCCCAAGCUGGGAAGAAGGUUGUCUCUCAGCUGCUUUAUGCCAGUUUUGAGUUGAAGUCCUAUCUCCUUUGUUUACAGUCAAAGAACAGCUUACCAAAGAAGGGAAAAUGGGACCUAGCUUUGCACCUCUGACAGCAGGGCCUGGAGAGACAUCUGUGGUUCCACCUACUCAACAGCUGAGAGAGCCUACCAAACAGGCUUCCCAGACUUAGUAGAGAUGAGGAGAACCAGCAGUUUCCCAAGUCUGAUGGAGCAAGGGACUUCCAUUCAGAGAAGACAAAACUCAUGAUGGAGAUGGAUUUUUCAAGGAGAAGCUAUUUUAAUUUGUGCACUGCACCUUUAGAACCAUACAGGUUUUUUUGCUGCCUUGUCUCAGAAAAUUCUUCCCAUCUGAGGGGUUUUCUAUAGCUUUCAGCACUGGUAAUAUCUACUAUUUUGAGUUUCAGUGAGAGAUGUGUAAUGAAUUCUGGGAUUAACAGGCAAGGUUAUAUGUUAAAGAAGAUUACUUAUACGGCUGAUUAGUUUCAGGACUGUAACUCAGCUGCUUAAGAGGAUCUGAACGUUCUUGCUGUCAGGGAAAAGGAAAGGCAAAAAGUGUUUUCAUUUGGAAGACCACCACGCUUGUCCACUAGAAAUAAGCCUUCAAGGGAAACAACAACACCAACAACAAUCAGCACUUGAGAGACUGGCAAGGUUUGAAGGAGCUAAAUCUGCUGUACCAAGCCUGAAAAAUAGAAGCAGAACGUACAGAUAUGCUACCUUUUUACAAUAUUCACUACUUCCUGGAAAAGAGCUCUUUCAUCAGUAGCGUAACUGACUUCUAGUCCUGUAACUCCAGAUCUUGUGAGCAAGGGGGCUUGGCCUCUGCACCCUAGAAAAUAAAGUAAAAGAAAUCAUUACAAUUCAGAAGGAAUUCUGUUAUUUCAA